GGGGAAUUUUGGACAAUGGGCGCAAGCCUGAUCCAGCCAUGCCGCGUGAGUGAAGAAGGCCUUCGGUUUGUAAAGCUCUUUCGCAAGGGAAGAAAACGUUUGGGCUAAUAUUCUGCGCGGAUGACGGUACCUUGACAAGAAGCACCGGCUAACUUCGUGCCAGCAGCCGCGGUAAUACGAAGGGUGCAAGCGUUAAUCGGAAUUACUGGGCGUAAAGCGCGCGUAGGUGGUUUGGUAAGAUGGAUGUGAAAUCCCCGGGCUCAACCUGGGAACUGCAUCCAUAACUGCCUGACUAGAGUACGGCAGAGGGGGGUGGAAUUCCACGUGUAGCAGUGAAAUGCGUAGAGAUGUGGAGGAACACCGAUGGCGAAGGCAGCCCCCUGGGCCUGUACUGACGCUCAUGCACGAAAGCGUGGGGAGCAAACA
rnacentral:rRNA from 1 species